UGCUUGGUCCAGUCCGGCUUGAAGGCGAUCUGUGGAACCUUCCGGUUGGUCGCCCAUUUGGAGGCGAUCAGUUCGGCACCCUUUGGUGAGCCGCCAUGGAUCAGGACCAUGUCCGGAUGCUUGGCGUGAACCUUGUCGAGACGAUCCCAGAUCAAGGUGUGGUCGUUGAAGUCGAGGCCGCCAGUGAGUGCGAUCUUGGGCCCAGGUGGCAACAAGACCUCGGUCUCUGCGCGGCGCUUGGCUGCGAUGAAAUCCCGGGAGUCGAUCAUUGCCGCCGUGAGCGUGCGAUGGUUGACAAGCGAACCCGAGCGGGGGCGCCAGGGUGAACCGGUGUGGAGCUCAAAGUGCUCGAUGGCCUGAUCGCGGAACAGCUCCNGCGGCGCUCGAUCAGUGUGAUGCCUUCGGCCGUCAGGCGCUCGAGUUCGACCGAUCGUACUUCCGAACCAUUCUGCUCGCGCUGGCUCUUGCGUUGAGCCUGUUCGUUGUCAUCGNGGCGAUCAAUUCGGUCCGCGGCACGAUGGAACAGGUUGACGGUCGACCAGAGCAAAUCGCU
rnacentral:misc_RNA from 1 species